rnacentral:rRNA from 1 species
GAGUUUGAUCCUGGCUCAGAUUGAACGCUGGCGGCACGCUUUACACAUGCAAGUCGGGCGGCAGCAUGGGGCUUCGGCCCCGAUGGCGAGCGGCGGACGGGUGAGUAAUGCAUGGGAAUGUACCCGAAAGUGGGGGAUAACCCUGGGAAACCAGGGCUAAUACCGCAUGUUUUCUACGGAACAAAGCGGAGGAUCUUCGGACUUCGCGCUUUCGGAGCAGCCCAUGUCCGAUUAGUUUGUUGGCGGGGUAACGGCCCACCAAGACGGCGAUCGGUAGCUGGUCUGAGAGGAUGAUCAGCCACACCGGGACUGAGACACGGCCCGGACUCCUACGGGAGGCAGCAGUGGGGAAUAUUGGACAAUGGGGGCAACCCUGAUCCAGCGAUGCCGCGUGAGUGAAGACGGCCUUCGGGUUGUAAAGCUCUUUCGCGGGGGAAGAAAAAACGCGGAGUAAUACGCCGCGUCCAUGACGGUACCCCGAGAAGAAGCACCGGCUAACUUCGUGCCAGCAGCCGCGGUAAUACGGGGGGUGCAAGCGUUAAUCGGAAUUACUGGGCGUAAAGCGUGCGUAGGCGGUUCUUCAAGUCAGAUGUGAAAUCCCCGGGCUUAACCCGGGAACUGCGUUUGAAACUGGGGGGCUAGAGUUCGGCAGAGGAAGGUGGAAUUCCGCGUGUAGCGGUGAAAUGCGUAGAGAUGCGGAAGAACACUAAUGGCGAAGGCAUCCUUCUGGGCCGAUACUGACGCUGAGUCACGAAAGCGUGGGGAGCAAACAGGAUUAGAUACCCUGGUAGUC